rnacentral:rRNA from 1 species
GGGGGGAAUGGCCCCUGGGUGCCACAGCGAAAGCGUUAAGCGCUCCACCUGGGGAGUACGCCGGCAACGGUGAAACUCAAAGGAAUUGACGGGGGCCCGCACAAGCGGAGGAACAUGUGGUUUAAUUCGAUGAUACGCGAGGAACCUUACCCGGGCUCAAACGUUGCAGGAAGGGUGUCUGAAAGGAUGCCCGUCUACGGACCUGCGACGAGGUGCUGCAUGGUUGUCGUCAGCUCGUGCCGUGAGGUGUCGGCUUAAGUGCCAUAACGAGCGCAACCCCUACCGCCAGUUGCCAACAGGCAAAGCUGGGGACUCUGGCGGGACUGCCGGCGCAAGCUGCGAGGAAGGCGGGGAUGACGUCAAAUCAGCACGGCCCUUACGUCCGGGGCGACACACGUGUUACAAUGGCAGGUACAGCGGGAAGCCACCUGGCGACAGGGAGCGGAACCCGAAAGCCUGUCUCAGUUCGGAUUGGAGUCUGCAACCCGACUCCAUGAAGCUGGAUUCGCUAGUAAUCGCGCAUCAGCCACGGCGCGGUGAAUACGUUCCCGGGCCUUGUACACACCGCCCGUCAAGCCAUGGGAGUCGGGAGUGCCUGAAGUGCGUGAGCGCGAGCAGCGCCCUAGGGCAAAACCGAUGACUGGGGCUAAGUCGUAACAAGGUAGCCGUAAGGGCGAA